CAAGAUGUAGCUUAAANAAAGCAUCUGGCUUACACCCAGAAGAUUUCAUAUNAAACUGACCAUCUUGA
rnacentral:tRNA from 1 species